rnacentral:rRNA from 1 species
AUGGCUCAUUAAAUCAGUUAUGAUCUACGUGACAUAUUCUUUACUACUUGGAUAACCGUGGUAAUUCUAGAGCUAAUACAUGCAAAAAAGCCUCGACUUUACGAAGGGGUGCACUUAUUAGAUAAAACCAACGCGGGGUAAAACCUGUUCUUCUUGGUGAUUCAUAAUAAUUAAGCGGAUCGCAUGGCCUUGUGCUGGCGACGGUCCACUCGAUUUUCUGCCCUAUCAUGGUUGAGAUUGUAAGAUAGAGGCUUACAAUGCCUACAACGGGUAACGGGGAAUUAGGGUUCGAUUCCGGAGAGGGAGCCUGAGAAACGGCUACCACAUCCAAGGAAGGCAGCAGGCGCGCAAAUUACCCAAUCCCGACACGGGGAGGUAGUGACAAUAAAUAACAAUGCAGGGCCUUUAAGGUCUUGCAAUUGGAAUGAGUACAAUUUAAAUCCCUUAACGAGGAUCAAUUGGAGGGCAAGUCUGGUGCCAGCAGCCGCGGUAAUUCCAGCUCCAAUAGCGUAUAUUAAAGUUGUUGCAGUUAAAACGUCCGUAGUCAAAUUUUAGUCUUUUAGGCGAAGUGGUCUGGUCUUCAUUGAUCAAACUCGCUUCUGCCGAGACUUUUUUUUUGGUUAUGCUAUGGGUUGACUUCGGUCUCCUGUAGUCUCUAGCCAAAGGAUUACCAUGAGCAAAUCAGAGUGUUUAAAGCAGGCUUUUAAGCUUGAAUGUGUUAGCAUGGAAUAAUGAAAUAUGACUUUAGUCCCUAUUUCGUUGGUUGAGGAACAAAAGUAAUGAUGAAUAGAAACGGUUGGGGGCAUUUGUAUUUGGUCGCUAGAGGUGAAAUUCUUGGAUUGACCGAAGACAAACUACUGCGAAAGCAUUUGACCCAGGACGUUUUCAUUGAUCAAGGUCUAAAGUUAAGGGAUCGAAGACGAUUAGAUACCGUCGUAGUCUUAACCACAAACUAUGCCGACUAGAGAUUGGGCCUGUUUAUUAUGACUGGCUCAGCAUCUUAGCGAA